GACAGAGGUGCCGAGCGUUAGGCGGAAUCACUGGGCUUAAAGCGUGUGUAGGCGGGCGGGCAAGUACCUUGUGAAAUCCCACGGCUCAACCGUGGAACGGCUGGGUAUACUGCCUGUCUUGAGCCAACUAGGGGCGAGCGGAACAGACGGUGGAGCGGUGAAAUGCGUAGAUAUCGGGAGGAACACCAGUGGCGCAAGCGGCUAACUGGCCGAGACCUGACGCUGAGACGCGACGGCGUGGGGAGCAAACCGG
rnacentral:rRNA from 1 species